rnacentral:rRNA from 1 species
GACGAACGCUGGCGGCGUGCUUAACACAUGCAAGUCGAACGGAAAGGCCCUGCUUUUGUGGGGUGCUCGAGUGGCGAACGGGUGAGUAACACGUGAGUAACCUGCCCUUGACUUUGGGAUAACUUCAGGAAACUGGGGCUAAUACCGGAUAGGAGCUCCUGCUGCAUGGUGGGGGUUGGAAAGUUUCGGCGGUUGGGGAUGGACUCGCGGCUUAUCAGCUUGUUGGUGGGGUAGUGGCUUACCAAGGCUUUGACGGGUAGCCGGCCUGAGAGGGGGACCGGCCACAUGGGGACUGAGAUACGGCCCAGACUCCUACGGGAGGCAGCAGGGGGGAAUAUUGCACAAUGGGCGGAAGCCUGAUGCAGCAACGCCGCGUGCGGGAUGACGGCCUUCGGGUUGUAAACCGCUUUCGCCUGUGACGAAGCGUGAGUGACGGUAAUGGGUAAAGAAGCACCGGCUAACUACGUG